rnacentral:tRNA from 1 species
CGGUGCGGCCUGCUAGAGCAACGGACUUUUAAUCUGUAGGUCUCGGGUUCGAGCCCCGACGCGCUCACCA